GGGCGCCGCGACCCCGCCGGGAGGGCGGAGGGGGCGGGGGCGGAGUCGCCAUCUUGGACUCGGCUCGACCCCGUCUGGUGACCGGCGACGCUGAGCCAGGCUCGGCGCAGGGGGUCGGGGGAUUUAUUCUGUAAGGCAAAUCAUGGUCUCUGAGAUGCAUCCCACAUGAGAAGAGCCCAGGGAGGCAGUGGAGCACUUGUUGGAGUCAAGUUGACUUGGCUAGAACCAGCAGCCAUGUGAGACUGGAAAAUGGAAAUGAAACCAGAAUGUGAGCUUGUUGAAUGAAUUGGACUCCCCAGAGAUCUGGGGGAGAAGAAAACCUCCCACUCGCCUUUGACUUUUGGAUUUCUUGUUUCCCUUGUAAUUGGAUUGCACUUUGAGAAGUCCAUCUGGAAGUUCACUUUUUAUUUGUUGCAACUGCAAGUAGAGUUUAUCAUCAAAAGACAAACCCCUGAAGGAAGAAAAACAGUGGGGGCAGUGAGGAAGUUGCAGAAUCACCUCAAAAAUCCAGUGACGGUGUUUAAGCUGUGUCACGAGCAUCCCUGUGGAGAGGCCCAGAGUGGUGAGAACCCAAGGCCUCCAGCCCAGCCACGCAAGGUCCUGUCACCCAGCGAAGCCUUCAAGGGCCUGAGGCCUGGCCAUCAUCUCACCUGCAGUCUCCUGAGCCACUACAAGCCAAAGCCCCCAGCUAAGCCACUCCCGGAUUCCUGGCCCUUGGCAACUGAGAUGCGUGCUCGCUGCUUUAAACCUAGAGAAGGAGCAUUAUAGGGAGCUUGGCAUCCUAUGGGUAGAAGAACAACGAAGGCAAGUCCUUCCCGACCUAGCCACAGGAUAGAACAUCUAUGAACUAAAUCUGGCCCUGGUUUUGCCGGAGGUAGGAAGGUGCCCAGAUGACAAAUUGGAUUUCCCCGACUCCCUUCCAGAUAAAAGCAGCUUACUUCUUCGGGCCAAUAGAAUGAAGGAAUAAACUGUGGUGCUGUACUUCUGGAAAUGCUCCCUGAAAGGGGGACUGACUCAGCUGAGAGACUACUGAUGAACCCUAUCUCACUACACGUGUGGGCCUUGUCUGCGGAUGAACUAGACUCCCAGGAGCUAGGCGAGGGGAGCAUCCAGAGUCCCCACCCUGACCUAUGAGGGAACGAGGCUCCAGGUCAGCAGAGCACCAAGAUCGUGCAGCUCCUAAGCACCGGCCAGGUGUCAGAACCCAGACGCGUGCUUUCUGAUUCUCGAGUGCUUCACCCACACAGGAUCAGUGGUUGCGGCCAGCUGGAUUGUACAGGAGGCUGGCCAGAGCCCCACGGCGCCAUCCCCACUCCUCCUGCAACCCUUUGUUCAAGACAGGCAGCACUGGAACAAGGCAGAACACCUGGGUCCAGUUCUUGUCUCUGACACGUACCUUCGCCUCUCUAACCUGAAGUGCUGUGCAAAUGAGAGCU